UGGGGAAUAUUGGGCAAUGGAGGAAACUCUGACCCAGCGACGCCGCUUGAGGGAAGAAGGCCUUCGGGUUGUAAACCUCUUUCAGCAGGGAAGAAGCGAAAGUGACGGUACCUACAGAAGAAGCACCGCCUAAUUACGCG
rnacentral:rRNA from 1 species